rnacentral:rRNA from 1 species
GUGGCGGGGGAGGGGUGAAUAAUGCCUAAAAAUCUGCCAGGCUAUGUUUUCUAGCGUUAGGAAACGGACACUAUUACCCUAUACGUCCUACCGGAGAAAGCAGGGGACCUUGGGACCUUGCGCUAUCGCAUGAGCCUAUGACGCAAUAUCUAAUUGGUGAGGUAAUGGCUCAAAGGCCCAACAAUCCGAAAAUGCUCUGAUGGGAUGAUCGGUCGAUCUGCAACUGAGACACUGACCAAACUCCUACAGUCCGCCGCAAGGGGGAAUAGUGGAAAAUGGGCCAAAGCCUGAUCCCCCCAUGCCGCCUGUGUGAAGAAGGGCUUCAGAUUGUCAAGCACUUUAGCCUGUUAGGAGGGAUUGAAAAUUAAUCCUCUGCAAUUUUGACGUUCCCAACGGACCAAACACCGGCUAACUCUGUGCCUUCAGCCCCGGUAAUACGGAAGGUGCAAGGGUUAAUCGGAAUUACUGAAUUACUGGCGCGCGUAGGUGGUUUGUUAGUUUGGAUGUGAAAUCCCCGGGCUCAACCUGGGAACUGCAUAAUUGACUGACUGACUAGAGUA